UACGUAGGGAGCAAGCGUUGUCCGGAAUCAUUGGGCGUAAAGCGCGCGUAGGCGGCCCUGUAAGUCCGUUGUGAAAGUCAAAGGCUCAACCUUUGAAAGCCGAUGGAUACUGCAGGGCUAGAGUCCGGAAGAGGCGAGUGGAAUUCCUGGUGUAGCGGUGGAAUGCGCAGAUAUCAGGAGGAACACCAAUAGCGAAGGCAGCUCGCUGGGACGGUACUGACGCUGAGGCGCGAAAGCGUGGGGAGCGAACAGG
rnacentral:rRNA from 1 species